CCUACGGGAGGCAGCAGUGAGGAAUAUUGGUCAAUGGCCGGAAGGCUGAACCAGCCAUGCCGCGUGAAGGUCAGUGCCCUAUGGGCGUUAAACUUCUUUUGUGCGGGAGCAAUAAUGGUCACGUGUGGCCAGACGAGAGUACCGUACGAAUAAGCAUCGGCUAACUCCGUGCCAGCAGCCGCCGUAAUACGGGGGAUGCAAGCGUUUUCCGGAUUUAUUGGGUUUUAAGGGUGCGUAGGCUGUGAGGUAAGUCAGCGGUGAAAUGCCCCGGCGCAACGGGGUGAAGUGCCAUUGAUACUGCCUUGCUUGAAUGCGGAUGCGGUGGGAGGAAUGUGUGGUGUAGCGGUGAAAUGCAUAGAUAUCACACAGAACACCGAUUGCGAAGGCAUCUCACGAAUCCGCGAUUGACGCUGAUGCACGAAAGCGUGGGUAUCAAACAGGAUUAGAGACCCGGGUAGUC
rnacentral:rRNA from 1 species